CGGCGAACGGGUGAGUAACACGUGAGGAACCUGCCCUGUACACCGGGAUAACUACGGGAAACCGUGGCUAAUACCGGAUACUUUCCUCGGUGGGCGUCCACUGAGGAAGAAAGAAUUUCGGUCAAGGAUGAGCUCGCGACCUAUCAGCUAGUUGGUGAGGUAAAGGCUCACCAAGGCGACGACGGGUAGCCGGCCUGAGAGGGUGACCGGCCACACUGGGACUGAGACACGGCCCAGACUCC
rnacentral:rRNA from 1 species